CUUAAGACCAGGGAGGUGGAGGGUGGUACCUGGCACUUUUUUUUUUUUUGUCAUUAUUGGCCUUCGUAUCAUCCAAAAAGCUCUGAAAACCAAGAAUUCUAUUUUAACAUCCUAUUACCAGAAUAUAGACAUCUUCUGUAACCAGAAGCACUCCAAGAACAACACUUUCAUUCAUGGACUUAACAACUACAUUAGAUCAUACCAGCCUGUCACUUCAAAGUCACCAGUGUCAAGGAACAUUUCAAAUGGGCUUAAAGCAUUGUUUUAGAGGUGUGAAUAAUGAAGCCAAGGACAUUAGCAACAUCAUGAAAGCAGGGGAGAGCACAGAAGACAUUAAGCAGAUAGAGAAGCCUGGGAGGGCUUCAGCAAGAAGAAAGUGGAAAGGCACUGGAGUUUGGGCCCCAAGCUGGCA
rnacentral:lncRNA from 1 species